rnacentral:misc_RNA from 1 species
AAAAAAAAAAAAAAAAUCUCAGCCUGUUCUACAAAUUGUUUUGACAAAAAACUAACAUAGUGUAUUUGUGUAUGGAUCAAAUGAAUGUGGAAUUCAUUUCAUUUGAAAAUGAAUUUCAUUAAUAAAUUUCAUUUGUAAAUGAAUUCUCGUGUUUGGCAUCUUAAUUAUUAAAAAUGGAAUUCAUUUAUACAAAAAUAACAACUAAAUCUUAAUCCCA